ensembl:snoRNA
UUGCAUGUGUAUGUCUGCUCCUCAUUCCUUUGGGAGCAAGAAUACAUCCAUAGCAUGCUACAUUUAAAAAGGAGUUCUCAGGGCUGCCAACCUUACAGUAGAAGUGGAAUAAUAGUAUAUUUCUCGUACAUAA